rnacentral:rRNA from 1 species
UGGGGAAUAUUGGACAAUGGGCGAAAGCCUGAUCCAGCCAUGCCGCGUGUGUGAAGAAGGUCUUCGGAUUGUAAAGCACUUUAAGUUGGGAGGAAGGUCAGUAAGCGAAUACCUUUUUGUUUUGACGUUACCGACAGAAUAAGCACCGGCUAACUCUGUGCCAGCAGCCGCGGUAAUACAGAGGGUGCAAGCGUUAAUCGGAAUUACUGGGGGUAAAGCGCGCGUAGGUGGUUCGUUAAGUUGAAUGUGAAAGCCCCGGGCUCAACCUGGGAACUGCAUCCAAAACUGGCGAGCUAGUGUAGGGCAGAGGGGGGUGGAAUUUCCUGUGUAGCGGUGAAAUGCGUAGAUAUAGGAAGGAAAACCAGUGGCGAAGGCGACCACCUGGGCUCAUACUGACACUGAAGUGCGAAAGCGUGGGGAGCAAACAGG